UGUUAAAAAUUUUAUCAAUUUCUAUUGUUAAAAAACUGACAUAGCUGAUGAAAUAACUAGACAGUUAUACGUGACAUACCACAUAUACCUUAUGCUGAUAUACAUGUACCAAUUUUUAGCAGUAAAAGUGGAAAAAAUCGUUAACA
rfam:Gossypium arboreum cultivar AKA8401 contig_3405_1, whole genome shotgun sequence.